UAUGACAUUUUUAAAUAUUAAAUGAUUUAUAUUUUGAUUAGCUACUUCAUACUUGAGUAGCCUUCUUACCAAAUGCUUUUUCUUAAAUCUUACUUAAGUACAAUACUCGACCCACCUCUUUUUUUAUGUCUUCCAUUUGUAAAAUAGUUUACAUUCAGUAGUUACUCAUUUCAGAUUCUAAUGGGAUGAAAAAGGUCAAGAUAUGUCUAAAUGUCUCAAAGACACAGGGUAGCAUAUCCUGGUGGUGUUUUUUUUUGUUUUGUUUUUUUGCACAUGGCUGGUGAAGCAUUUAUUUAACAUACACACAUAAAGUCCCCUUGAAGCCUGCAAGAGCAAACCAGGUGCAGAGGGAGCACUGCAGUCUUACUGCAGGAGUGGAUGUGGGUGAUGCCGCUGGCCCGCUGGAAACUAUAAAUGUGUUUGUGUGCAUGAGGCGUUAUGCAGCAGAGUCACAUUUUCACCAUAUUCUCUGAGCCAGUCACACAGCCAGCGCAGCAUUCUGAACACAACAGCUGUGACUCAGGAUUCAAACCUCCUUUUAAGGGCAACAACUAGAGAGAGACGUGAUAAUGCAGCAGAUGAUUUGGACGCGGAGGUUGUUUACAUCAACGCCUGGUUGUGACUGAAAAUAUCUGGGGGUUUUCCAUCGGACGGGAAGCUAUGACGACAGCUAGCUGUAUGUGAAAGCUUACUUCAACUCAAACCUCAGUGCUUUCUGUUCCUGGUUGUCAAACUGAGUCGACACAGCAGCAAGCCACUGAAACUACCUUCUGUUUAAAAAUGGAAGUGAAAACAAUGAUGUUCAUUUACAUUUUUUUUCUCUUUCUGCGGGGAUUUUUUCCCUCCUCCCUCCCCCUCGGUGCUGCACCUUUCACCGAGUCGUCUGUCCCCAGCAGAGGCGGGCAGAUUAAAAGGAUGCGUUACCAUCUUGUUUUUUUUUUGUUUUUUUUCUAAAUGGAUACACAUGUGGCACAUCUGGGUCCAGGCCUGACUCAUUACUCUCCUUUUUUAUGCUCGGUUCUCUGCAGCCAUGGCAACUGCUGCAUGUUUGGCAGAAAGCUUUUGAAGGCAGUGGAAAAAGAGAGCGAUAGAGAGGAGGGAGGGGGGGAGAAAGAGAGGGAGAGCUCUCAGUAGUUGGCCUACAUCCAGUGUAAUCAUGCCAUGGAGCUGAAAUGAGGCCUUUGGCAGCACACCAGGUUUCUGAGAACAAAGAUGUGAGCUUCUAAUGUUGGCGGUGGGGCCUGCUUGGCAUCCUUUGCCAUUUCCCAGCAGCCCUUGCCUUGGCCGGCUGCCAGCCACCACCCCCCUCCUUCCCUGCUGGGACUGCAAAGAGGAUCAGAAUAAAGAGAGAGACUUGUUUUUCACUCGCCUCUUGCUCUGGCCAAUGACAUCACCUCUGCAGCCUCCAGCCCCCAGAUUCCAGUCGCCCAGCACAUUUUUCCCCUCUUGCCGUCCACCCUCCAUCUUAUUUCAAAUCCACCAUUUCAGAUUUUUAUUAAAACUGACUCCUUAAAUUACGCUUUUUGCUGUUGCAACACUGUCCAUAUGCUGCACAUGAUUUCUGCUGUCAUAAUGUGAAAUUGAUCAGAAAAUCAAUGAAAAGUUUCCAAACUAUACACUGACAACAAGACGGAAGAAAGCUCAUUAUGUUUCCUAUCUCCUCAAAUUAAAAUCAGUACACUAAUCCUUCCAGCGCAAGAGAGCAGCUAAAAAUAGCACCACUACCAGGAUAUAUACGGCAGCUAGUCUAGUCAAUAAUCACCAUGGCUAAUUCUAACACACAAAACGAUGUGAAUUAAGCAAGCAUUUAAACAUUUACUGCAAUAUAAGUACCUCAUGCCCAAAAUUAAGCAUAGUGGAGCGUCUGUGAUGCUGUAGUCCUGUUUCUCCUCCAAAGUUACAGGAAGUCUUGCGUAUAAGAUCUGUGUGACGUAAGCAAAUUGGUGAAUUGGCAAAUUGGUGCAUUGCUUAGCCUAUAUCACACUUUACUUUCCUCAGGGCCAAUGUAAGGUAUGGUAGAGGGUCUGUGAUGCUGUGGUGACCCACAGAAAAUUUUUAUAGGGUUGGCGAGACCAGACCGGCAAAAAAAUUUAGUGAGGCCCAGCUAAAAAAAUAGAAAAAGAAAAAAAAAUUUUUUAUUUAUGUUUUUUUAUUUGGGUUUUACAUUGGGGCCAUGGGCCCCUCUUGCUCCUCCCUCGGGGACACCACUGUGCUUUGUUGCCAAAGCAACAAAAAAAAAAUUUCCUUGUUGCGUAUUGAAACUGUGCGACGUAAGAUAACUAUUUCCUUUACUCAAUAUACAUUUAUUAAUCUUUGCCGCAAUAUCGGUACGUCAUGUGAAGCAUGGUGGAGGAUGUGUGAUGCUCCGUAUUUAGAGUGCAUAUUCUCAGGGACAUGUCAUUAUUAGAAAGUGCCAUGUGUACUUUUGUCCUGUUCUAGCCUCCCUCCAGGUUGGCACAGACGGUUACAGUUUAAUCUGCUUACCUCAGCAGUUAAUGUGAAAAAAAAGGGUUGAAUAACGCACAUUGUGGCUGGGUCAAAGAAACAAACAAACAAACAAACAAAUCCAGACCUGAGCUGAAGUGGAAAACUUCACAAAGAAUUUACAACGCCUUCCCAGUGCGGUAUAACAUUUCAGAAAGUGCUAAGACAAAAAUAACGUCAUCUCAUCCUGCUCACGGUGCUGUCACAUGCUGGGUAUUCCCCUGGCCAUCACCUACCGCUCAGGCUUUAUUUAGCUCCCACAUGUCUCGAUCUACAGUCACAAAACGAAGCUAGAGAAUGAAUUAUACAGCCGCUCCAUCUGGUUUAGUGGAGGCUCACAUCAGACGGCCACCAGUCGGGUCUCACUGUUCUGCUUCUAUACUGUAUACACGGUUUACAUCGCCAGUCAGGGCCAUCUGGUCAUGUUUGACUACCUCCCAGACUUUUGCUGCCUCUGUGAUUUAUAGCAACAUUCUUCUUCUUCUUCUUUUUAUAAUAAUAAUAAUAAUAAUAAUAAUAAUAAUAAUAAUAAAAAAUCAGGUCAUUUAGAUUUAAAUAAAUCCCCGCAUGCCUCUGUCUUGCAUAAUAGCUGCUUGGUCCUGCAGCUAUUUGCUUACACAAACGUCGACGGAGUGGAAAAGCAAAAAGGAUCAAAGCGAUAGGCAACUGUUUUCCACCAGUCUCAAGGAAAGACUUUUGUUUAUUUUGUCCCUCGCAACAGCUAUUUCCCAACCGCGCCGUAAAGGCCCAGCUCCACAUUCUUUUGUUGCUCACCCAGCGAGGACAGGGAGUUGAGAGAAAGCGGAGAUGGAAACAUAGCAGUUUACAAUUAAACUCAAACUUGUGACAGUUGUGUACAGGGGAAUAUAACUUCCCUGUGCUCGGUGCAGAUAGAUCGGGAGCAGAAGUGUCUUACUUUGUUUAUGGAAAGCCUUUUGAAGAAGGGCCCCAUGCCACAGUGCAUGAUCAUGGCCGCAGGCAGGGAGCCAAAUGGCCUCAUGUUCUGUGUAGAUGGGCGAGGCGGAUGAGGGUUUCAGACGCAUUGCCUCACCCAAAGCCCGAGGCUAAGCUGCAACGAGCUGGAAUGAGCCCAGAUGAGAGACGGAGAGCAAGAAAGAGAGAGAGAGAGAGCAAGAAAGAGAGGGAGAGGAAUCUGAACUGCUGGGACACUCCUCCGGUUCAAACCUACACUUUUACUUCAGGGGAUUUUGGCUGGGGUUUUGGUGUCUAACUUGUUUCAUGUGACAUUUUUCCCCUCCUUUAUGUAAAACAGCACAACUGUGAAGCAAUUCAUCUAAAUAAACCUUUCAGGCACAUAAA